rnacentral:rRNA from 1 species
CCUACGGGAGGCAGCAGUGAGGAAUAUUGGUCAAUGGGCGCGAGCCUGAACCAGCCAAGUAGCGUGAAGGAUGACUGCCCUACGGGUUGUAAACUUCUGUUAUAAAGGAAUAAAGUGAGGCACGUGAGCCUUUUUGGAUGUACUUUAUGAAUAAGGAUCGGCUAACUCCGUGCCAGCAGCCGCGGUAAGACGGAGGAUCCGAGCGUUAUCCGGAUUUAUUGGGUUUAAAGGGAGCGUAGAUGGGUUGUUAAGUCAGUUGUGAAAGUUUGCGGCUCAACCGUAAAAUUGCAAUUGAUACUGGCAGUCUUGAGUACAGUUGAGGUAGGCGGAAUUCGUGGUGUAGCGGUGAAAUUCUUAGAUAUCACGAAGAACUCCGAUUGCGAAGGCAGCUUACUAAACUGCCACUGACAUUGAUGCUCGAAAGUGUGGGUAUCAAACAGGAUUAGAUACCCCAGUAGUC